rnacentral:rRNA from 1 species
UGGGAACAUGCCCUUCGGUUCGGAAUAACUCGGGGAAACUCGAGCUAAUACCGAAUACGCCCUUACGGGGAAAGAUUUAUCGCCGAUGGAGCGGCCCGCGUCUGAUUAGCUAGUUGGUGAGGUAACGGCUCACCAAGGCGACGAUCAGUAGCUGGUCUGAGAGGAUGAUCAGCCUCACUGGGACUGAGACACGGCCCAGACUCCUACGGGAGGCNG